GUAGGGUGCGAGCGUUAAUCGGAAUUACUGGGCGUAAAGCGUGCGCAGGCGGUUAUGUAAGACAGAUGUGAAAUCCCCGGGCUCAACCUGGGAACUGCAUUUGUGACUGCAUGGCUAGAGUACGGUAGAGGGGGAUGGAAUUCCGCGUGUAGCAGUGAAAUGCGUAGAUAUGCGGAGGAACACCGAUGGCGAAGGCAAUCCCCUGGACCUGUACUGACGCUCAUGCACGAAAGCGUGGGGAGCAAACAGGAUUAGAUACCCUGGUAGUCCCACGCCCCUAAACGAUGUCAACUGGUUGUUGGGAAUUAGUUUUCUCAGUAACGAAGCUAACGCGUGAAGUUGACCGCCUGGGAGUACGGCCGCAAGGUUG
rnacentral:rRNA from 1 species